rnacentral:lncRNA from 1 species
CUUUGCAAUAACAGGGUGGUAUAGUCGUGAUGUCACGUUAUGUGUGAAAACAGCGAGCACUUUACCCUACGCCAAACAGAUCACAACUAAUAUGUCACACUAUCGAAAAUAACGAGGUGUCCAAACGAAACAACGCUACAAGAUGAGUUGUCACAUCAUUUCUGUCUCUGUCCCUCCAAAGCUCAGUUUACUUUAAUGGUAAAGAUACCACGUUUUUUCAGUAUAUAGAAUGAAAUACGGCGGAUUUAUUUAACGAAUAAUACAAAAAUCAGAUAUUUUGAAAUGUCACGUUGUUCUGGUAAAUGAGCGAAAUAUAAUAUGAAAUUUACCU